CAAAGACCUUGGCUCUCUCUCUGGAGCCCUUCCCUCUGGCAGGAAAUUGAGGAAGGGCCAACUAGCUUUGAGAACCAGUCUUCUUGAUUUGCCAGGAUGAACAGUCAAAAGAAAAGAAAAGAUAUGGAACCUGCUUGUACUUGGAGUUUAUUGUCUGAACAGAAAGCUGCUUCAAAUUCUCAGGCUCCAUAUUCAUGGAAGGAUCUCACAG